GGACGGGUGAGUAACGCGUGAGAAUCUGCCCUCAGGAGGGGGAUAACGGUUGGAAACGACCGCUAAUACCCCAUAUGCCGCGAGGUGAAAUGAAUUUCGCCUGAGGAUGAGCUCGCGUCUGAUUAGCUAGUUGGUGGGGUAAGAGCCUACCAAGGCUUCGAUCAGUAGCUGGUCUGAGAGGAUGAUCAGCCACACUGGGACUGAGACACGGCCCAGACUCCUACGGGAGGCAGCAGUGGGGAAUUUUCCGCAAUGGGCGAAAGCCUGACGGAGCAACGCCGCGUGAGGGAUGAAGGCCUCUGGGCUGUAAACCUCUUUUAUCAAGGAAGAAGAUCUGACGGUACUUGAUGAAUAAGCCACGGCUAAUUCCGUGCCAGCAGCCGCGGUAAUACGGGAGUGGCAAGCGUUAUCCGGAAUUAUUGGGCGUAAAGCGUCCGCAGGCGGUCUUACAAGUCUGUCGUUAAAGCGUGGAGCUUAACUCCAUUUCGGCGAUGGAAACUGUAAGACUAGAGUGUGGUAGGGGCAGAGGGAAUUCCCGGUGUAGCGGUGAAAUGCGUAGAUAUCGGGAAGAACACCAGUGGCGAAGGCGCUCUGCUGGGCCAUAACUGACGCUCAUGGACGAAAGCUAGGGGAGCGAAAGGGAUUAGAUACCCCUGUAGUCCUAGCCGUAGACGAUGAACACUAGGUGUCGGGGGAAUCGACCCCCUCGGUGUCGUAGCCAACGCGUUAAGUGUUCCGCCUGGGGAGUACGCACGCAAGUGUGAAACUCAAAGGAAUUGACGGGGGCCCGCACAAGCGGUGGAGUAUGUGGUUUAAUUCGAUGCAACGCGAAGAACCUUACCAGGGUUUGACAUCCUGCGAAUCCCUUGGAAACUUGGGAGUGCCUUCGGGAGCGCAGUGACAGGUGGUGCAUGGCUGUCGUCAGCUCGUGUCGUGAGAUGUUGGGUUAAGUCCCGCAACGAGCGCAACCCACGUCUUUAGUUGCCAGCAUUUAGUUGGGCACUCUAGAGAGACCGCCGGUGAUAAACCGGAGGAAGGUGUGGAUGACGUCAAGUCAUCAUGCCCCUUACAUCCUGGGCUACACACGUACUACAAUGCUACGGACAAAGGGCAGCAAACUCGCGAGAGCUAGCCAAUCCCAUAAACCGUGGCUCAGUUCAGAUCGUAGGCUGCAACUCGCCUACGUGAAGGAGGAAUCGCUAGUAAUCGCAGGUCAGCAUACUGCGGUGAAUACGUUCCCGGGCCUUGUACACACCGCCCGUCACACCAUGGAAGUUGGCCACGCCCGAAGUCGUUACUCCAACCCUUGUGGAGGAGGAUGCCGAAGGUGGGGCUGAUGACUGGGGUGAAGUCGUAACAAGGUAGCCGUACCGGAAGGUGCGGCUGGAUCACCUCCUA
rnacentral:rRNA from 1 species